UGGGAAGGUCUGCAGACUGAUGAUGAAGA
rnacentral:sRNA from 1 species